UCUCUGUUAGCUCAGUUGGCAGAGCGCAAGACUGUUAAUCUUGAGGCCGCUGGUUCGAUCCCAGCACAGAGAG
rfam:Phaeodactylum tricornutum CCAP 1055/1 chromosome 14, whole genome shotgun sequence.